GAUGAACGCUGGCGGCGUGCCUAAUACAUGCAAGUCGAGCGAACAGACGAGGAGCUUGCUCCUUUGACGUUAGCGGCGGACGGGUGAGUAACACGUGGGUAACCUACCUAUAAGACUGGGAUAACUUCGGGAAACCGGAGCUAAUACCGGAUAAUAUUUCGAACCGCAUGGUUCGAUAGUGAAAGAUGGCUCUGCUAUCACUUAUAGAUGGACCUGCGCCGUAUUAGCUAGUUGGUAAGGUAACGGCUUACCAAGGCAACGAUACGUAGCCGACCUGAGAGGGUGAUCGGCCACACUGGAACUGAGACACGGUCCAGACUCUACGGGAGGCAGCAGUAGGGAAUCUUCCGCAAUGGGCGAAAGCUGACGGAGCAACGCCGCGUGAGUGAUGAAGGUCUUCGGAUCGUAAAACUCUGUUAUUAGGGAAGAACAAACGUGUAAGUAACUGUGCACGUCUUGACGGUACCUAAUCAGAAAGCCACGGCUAACUACGUGCCAGCAGCCGCGGUAAUACGUAGGUGGCAAGCGUUAUCCGGAAUUAUUGGGCGUAAAGCGCGCGUAGGCGGUUUNNNAAGUCUGAUGUGAAAGCCCACGGCUCNACCGUGGAGGGUCAUUGGAAACUGGAAAACUUGAGUGCAGAAGAGGAAAGUGGAAUUCCAUGUGUAGCGGUGAAAUGCGCAGAGAUAUGGAGGAACACCAGUGGCGAAGGCGACUUUCUGGUCUGUAACUGACGCUGAUGUGCGAAAGCGUGGGGAUCAAACAGGAU
rnacentral:rRNA from 1 species